AAUUAAUUUUUUUUAUAGCAGUCCUCCUUGCAGAAACAAAAUGCAUUAUUUUUGUUAGCCUAUACACACACACAAACACACACACACACACACACACACACACACACAAAACCUGGAUCAAUGAUUCGUUGGCUCAACAUCCAACUUAUAAAGAUAAAUAGACUAAACUCGAAAAAAAAAUACAUUCAUAACAUUUCAACACAAACAUAAGUGUAGGCUAUGCGUAAAGUAAAUUAAAAAACGUAAGUAACAUCAACUAGCAUUACAACUCUGCAUGAUAUGUAAAUAUUACUAUAUCCAGCCAAUGAGCGAAGCUGGAGCCAUUUUGAAGUGAUUUGGUCAAGACAGCUGUCAGGUAAGCGGUCUUUUAAAAACUAAGUAAAAUAUUAGAGCUUGAGUUUUUAAACAUUCAUAAACACUUGUUUAUUGUGUUAGUGGGUAUAUUUCUAAACCGGAAGCACAAUACAACGUUUUCUGAGGUGUGAUGUGGUGAAGAUAGUGAAAGGAGGUAAUUAAAGUUUAGCUUAAAUAUUACACCGUAAAACACAUACAUUUUGACUUUUUAAACAUUAAUUAAAACACAUUUAUUUGUUAGAGGGGUGUUUUCCUAAACUGGAAGCACGCAACGUUUUCUGAAGCGCAAUAUGUGGUGACGAUGGUGAAAGCUAAAGUUUAGCUUUAUAUAAACGAAAUAAAAUGUGUGUCGUCAAAGUACGGUCGUUUCAUUUGUGGUCACAUCGGGAUUUAUUAAACUCAUAUUUUGAACUGCUACAAUUUCUUCAACAAUCAAAAACGUGUUAUUUAUAAAUACUUUGCUACUAGUUUUAUAUUUAGAUUGAGUUUGUACAUGUAAGUUUAUUGACAUGAAUCAAGAAACCAGUUUGCACACAAGUAUAUUUUAUAAAUGUGUGUGCUUCCAUGGAACGGAUUGUUGAGAGCUUGCUUAAAUGCAUAGUGUUUGCAUGUAGCCUAUUCAUAAAAAUUGCAUAAGGUAAAAAUAUCGAGUUUGCACUAAUGCAUAUGCAUUGAGUUUUCACUCAGCUCCAAAAAGAAUAUAUAAUAAAAAUGUAAAAAGCUAGCCUAAUCAUAUUUUGUGUAGUUUAAUACUGUUGUUUUUCUCUCUGCUGUCAAUCUUUCCAGUGCGAGCAGGUGUGAUGCAAUAUUAAGAUUAAUAUUGUAAGAUCAAUUUCUGGAGGAUGGUCAUGGUGACCUUGAGGAACUGGAACAGCACACACACUGAUCACGAUGGUGGAUUCAUGGAUGAUGGGAACUUUCUUUUUGUCAAAUUGUCACAUUUUUAUUCAGAAGUACUACAGUCAUAAUUUUUGGUUUCAGAUGAUAUAAAUUGCUGUUGUUUCCAGAGUAGUAUUGCAAUCUCUGUCAAAAAACCUAAAAUGCUUUAUUUCUGUACUAAAUGUGUGAAAACCUUUUGUUGAAAUGCUGUCCAAAAAUGAAGUAAAAUGCUUUGUUUUCUGCUAA